rnacentral:lncRNA from 1 species
AGUUCCGGGGCAGCCAGACCCAGGCGAGGGUGGGCAGACCUGGGGGCAGCGUCCAGAUCCUGAGGUCCACACGGGGAAAAGGAGAAGACAGACCCCCCCACCCCGGCCCAGCCACGCUGGGGGACGCAGCCUCGUCGGGGCGGCGAGGCUUUGCGGGGUGGUGCGUGCCCACUAGGCGCACGACUCUCCCCGCGGGCGCCAAGCGACUCUUGGAAGUGCCGGCCGUCCUCUCUGUGCCUCCGAGGGGGUCGGCGCCUCCACGCGUGACGCGAAGUUUGUGGGGAACGUAGCUGUGUGUUGGCGGGAGAUCCCUCCAAGCCUCCCCAGCCUGCUGUCACCUCGGCGCCCCCUCCCAAGACCCUACCGGACCGCAGCCCGGGGGGGUGGGGGUGGGGGGUGGGGCGGAGUCUCAGCGGGUGGCCCAUAGGCGCCCUCCUCAGCUCCCCCAUCUCCCAGCCCCAUUGGCGCCAAUGGUGGGGGGGCGCCCAUGCACCACGCAAUGCCUGCCAGGAAACCCCCGAAGAGUUCCCUCUCUAUUCCUGCCUCAGUUUCCUCACCUCGAGCGAACAGGAGCGCCCCAAAGGCGCCAGGCCCCGCCCCGCGUCUCUGAGCCUCCUCUGAGUUCAAACUCUCUCCCUGCUCCCUCUCGGGCUGGGAGCUUCGGGCACAGCUAAGGCGGCCGCCCGGGGCGGCGGCGGCGGCUCCCCUGGGGAAGAUCCCGGCCCCUUCUCUCCUCCCACGGCGCCCCGGCUUCGGCCCCCUCCCCGCAGCCCCGGUACCUUUGCCCCGCAGCGGGCCCCGAGCCUCCUCCUUGCUGAUCUGAGUAAUGACGGCCGAGCUGUCCAUGGGGCCGGGCGCGCUCCGCUCCGGCCGGACUCUGGCCCGGGCGCCCGGCCUCCCCCCCGGCUGGGGCCGGAAUCGGGGCGCGGGGGGGAGGGGAGGGGUGGGAGGGAGGGAUCCCCGCGAGCUCCGGAGGGGAGGGGAGCCAGGUUCUAGGGGGGAGGGGGAGGGAGGGGGCGCGGAGGAAACUUUGUUACAACAUGGAGUUUCCUUCCCGCGAGGCGGAUGCAAACAUGGAACCCAGGCGCCGUUUCAAGGCUCCCCCUUAAAAGGGCAACGGCUUCGGCGUGACCUGGACUCGGCUGCGGCUUUCGCCACUUCUGGGACCGGCGCGGCUAGGCGGACUGGGAGGCGGGCCGGGCCGGGUUCCUGCCGCGCUCCAGGGGGCGUCGCCUCCCUUCCUGCCGCCCGCCGGCGGGGCUGAGUCUCUGCGGCUGCGUGGCAGGCCCGGCACCCGGCUCACCGUUCCAGGCCGCCGAGCGCCCUCGGCCAAGGCCCGCCCGCCGGGAGCGCCCACGCCGGGGAGUGCCCGAGUGCGGCGCGGCUCCACCUCUGCGUUUUCUGAAGACCCGGGACUAGAGGCUUCUCGGUUUCCUCGUUGAGGACUUGGAGAUAGCACUACCUCAUCUGUAAAAUGGGUCUUCUCUCCUGUCUGGUGGUCGCAGAGAUCACCUCGCAAGGACGUCAAGAGCCAGCGAAGGCUCUGCUGGCCCGAAACAGCUGUGCAAACCUCAGAAUCACGCUCUUGAAUGGGACGGUCGCCGCCCCCCGCAGCCCCAGGGCGAGGUGCCCCCGGUCUGUAGGACGUGAAAUUCUAACUCUCUGCCCUGGGAAAGCCCCCUGCCGACCUCUCCCCACGGCCCCACCCGGGGCCCCGCACGUCUACCCGCCGCGCACGGGCCACCGCGCGUUCCCGCCUGAAGUUUUCGUACGCGCUGUUCCUUUCGCGUAGCCAAAUUCCACCGACCUCGAGGAAAUGCCACCUUCUCCAGGGGCCUUCCCAGACCCCCUCCCCUGCCCGCGGUCGACGGCCGCCCUGUGAUUACUGGGGGUGCGGUGGGAGUCACUGGACUCGCUGCCGAUCCUAGGAGCCCAGCACGGCGCCGCACGCGGUGGGCCCAAAGCCCGACCGUGGGGGACCUCAAACCAGAGGCCCUCAAGGCCCGUUCCACCCGGCCUGUGGCGCAGUGCUGGGCACUUGGGAACGGAGGUCCCUGUCUUCUCGCUGCAAGCCCCUCCGUGGUGCGCGCCGUGGGUCUGCGGGUUGGUCUUUUUCCUCGUUUAUGAAGUUCUUUUCACUCGUCGUUACUAUUUUGUAAGUUCACCAUUUAAAAAUUAAUAAUGCCAAGCCCGACAAACACCCCUCGGCACUUCCUCCCCUCCCCCUCUCCCGCGGGCCUCCGUGGCGGGGCGGGGCGGGCGCGUCCUGUCCCGUCCGGCCGCCGGGUGCGACGCGGCGCACGUCCGCCAGGCCCUGCCGAGGGGGAGCCGGGGAGGGGAGGCCCCGCGCGGGGGCCGGGAGGGGAAGGGAGGGGAGCGGCGUCUGCCAGAAGGCGCGGCGGCUUCGUGCGCUGAGGCUGGGAGUAGGGGCGGGAGGGGACUGUCGGGGACUGAUACCCCGGUCCCCGGGCUGGAUCCCUCGGCCCUCCUCCUGCUCCUGGGUAGCCCACGGGGCGGCCACCAUUGCGCUUCAUCACCGUGAUCGCCACACGCUGCUGGCGUUUUCCUAGGCCUGCUCUGGCUGCGCCCCCUAAUCUCAUUUACCCCUUAGAACGGCCUCCUUCUUAACCCAUUUCACAGAUGAGGAAACUGAGUUUCAAGAAAGGAAGCGACGUGCUUCGGGUCUACCGGCAAGGGCAAAGGCGGGAUUCCAGCCUGGGAGCGGGACAUCUGUCUCCCCUGCGGUCCGGCCCCCUGGGUGGGGCCUCGGCUUUAUCUCCGGAUGCGGGGCCCUCAUGACCCCAAAAGGAAGCGUGUGGCGAGGGACUGAGUGGAGUCGUGGCCUCGCCCUUGGCCUGGGUUGGGUGGCGCGCUUUCCUCUCCCUCUGUGAAGGGGGCUGGUACCUGGCCGGCUGUCCCCACACCCACCAUUCCCAGACGCGCCAUCCUGAGCUCACAGGAUUCCUCAGGAAUCCCCCACCUCCUCCACCCCAUCUUAUCGCCACUUCAAGCCGUUGCCCGUGCAGUUCUUUUCCCAGGGAGACCUAACUCCUCCUCCCAGGCUCCCAAAGCGGCAGAGGUAGCCGCGCCUUCUGCCUGGAGCCCUGGACUUAUCUCCCCACGCCUGGGGCGGGUAGUUAGUUACGGAGUGAGCGAGAGGCCAGGAUUGCGUGGGGGGAGGGGGGUCCUUCGAGUGUCCUCACUGUAGGGGUUGUCUACACCCAGCUGCCCUCUGUCUCUACAGGUGGAGGUCGCUUUAUGCACUCUAUUUUUUGUCUGUUUUAUCAUUCGCACCCCAGGAAAAAUAAAAUCAUGGGGGCCACAAGUCAGAAACGGGGAGGGGCAGGAACGGGAUUCAGCAAGGUGCUGUCUGGCACCUGUGGAUUUGGAAGCGUCUCUUCCAACACAGUCCCUCAGUUUCCCCAUCUGCCAAACAGGGCUGGUAAAAGCCCAACCCAGGGGGAGGCGGGGAGCCGUGCACAAAGUCGGGGUGCAUUCAGCAGGCUCUUGGGGAGUGCCAAGUGCGACCACGCCCUCCCUGGGAGGCCUAAAGGGAGCUUCCAGAAGAGCAACUCUGCACCCCUCUUCCUGGAGGGUCGAUUUGAGGCCAGGCUGGAAGAACCAGAGCUACUAUGGGGGGAAUGGGGGCAGCUCUAAGUAGACGCCUUCCAGUGUCCAAAUGACUGACCUUGGCGCGACCUCAUCACUAGCCCUUUGCCCAGGUCCUGGGUAGCCCUUUAGCCGGGUCUCCGUGUCUUCUUGACCAACCUGCCCAUUACUCUGCCGUCCCCCGUCCUGCCCCACAAGAUCUAAGACGUCCCCAGAAAGCUUCAGGUCUUGGCAGAUGUGCACACACGUGCCCCCAUGCUCCUGGCACUCUCAUUCCUCCUGGGCUGUCCUGUCAACACUCCCCCCUACCGCCGACCCCCCCUUCAGCAAGAUUCAGUCCCCUUCCCUGGCUGGCGUCACGGGCAGCGCCCUUCACCGCAUCCUGCCACAGGGACUUGUUUGCACAGCUGUCUCCCGCCGCUGGAGUGUGGGGUCCUUGAGAACUGACAUCUUUAAUUCGGGACUUUGCCGCCCUCCCCAACUUGUAACACAGAGCCUGGCAGAGGACUGGCACUCAAUGCCAAGAGGGGUGUGUAGGGGGUACAACGGGGGCACUUCCAGGAGGCUAAAGGAUCUGGGAGAUGCCUUUCUUCGCUAAACGUCCCCCAUCCAUCUCCUCCUUCAGCUGGCAUGGACCCAUCUUCUCCAGUGCCAAACCCAGAGGAGGCGGGCGGCCCUCUUGCCCAGGUACCCUCUGCAGCGCUUGCCCAGGUCGCACCAGACCGGUCCCAUCUCUUCUCUCCUUGAGGGACCCACUCGCAUCGUUGCCCUUUUAAGAAAGAGGAAAUUCUUCUCAUAAACAAGCGUCCGGACCUGAGCGCGGAGCCAGGCCGCCUGCCCUGCUGGGUCCCCAGGAAAUCGGGGGUUCUUCCAGGUGCAACACCCGGCCCAGGUUCAACUCUAGGGAAAGGCCUGUUGGCCUCUCCUCGCUGCGGCCCUCCGCAGGUCCUGGGCUGGGGUCUGAGGGACCCGACGAGGCUGGAGGAGGGACUUGGGGGAGCCUAGAAACAGCCUAGGGAACGUCUAUAAAGUGCAGCCCCUGAAUGGGGCGAAUGGGUGCCCAGCCGCUCCCUAAGGCAGAGGGGGCUCCCCGCCCACACAGCUUCCUCCCACCCACUCUCCCCGAAGGAUUCUGGGGCCCCUGGCGCGAGCCCCGAGCGCCCGCCUCCCCGCGUCGUUCCGCCUGGCGGGGAGGGGUGAGGCCGGGGCGGGAUGGCGGGCGUCGGGACCGUCUCUGCCCCUAGGGGGAGCAGUCAGCAGAGAGGGAGCGGUAACGGCGCGGCGUGGGAGUCGCGGCCGCCGGCUCCCCUGAGGAAACAGCAAAUAAUUUGGGCCUCAGAGGCACAGACUCUUGGGUUCCUUAUGACCUGGUGCCUGACGGAGAAAGAAGUGCGCCGCCGUUUUACUGUCUGGAAAAUGGGUUGCAGGCGGAACAGAAAGGCUGCGGCGAAUAGGAGCGGACCAGACCCUGGUGUAGGGGUCUUCUGGAUGCUUUAGAGACUUCGUGCCUUCCCGGUUCCCAUUCCCUGCUCCUUUGGACGAGAAGGGAACUAGUAUUUAUUUAACUUUAAUCAGGCCGGGUUUGGUGGCUCACGCCUGUAAUUCCCAGCACUUUGGGAGACGGAGAUGGGCGGAUCACUUGAAUCCAGCAGUUCGAGACCAGCCUGGCCAGCAUGGCAAACCCCGUCUCUGCUGAAAAUACACAAAUUAGCUGGGCGUGGUGGCGCGCGCCACUCCCGGGGCUGAAUAAAGAGAAUCGCUUGAACCCAGAAGGUGGAGGUUGCAAUGAGUUAAGAUUGCGCCACUGCACUCCAGCCUUGGCAACAGAGGGAGACCCUUUCCCUGUCUCAAAUAAAUAAAUAAAUAGAUAGAUAGAUAAUUUAACAUUCAUCAGACACUAUUUCAAGCUCCAGUUUGGAGCCUGUGUCCCGCCCAAGUCCUCAAGCCCUCACCCCACCCACCCUUGGGCUGUCAGGUCACGCCUGCAGGUGCUCAAUAAAUACCUUUUGAAAUGUUU